rfam:Deltaproteobacteria bacterium RBG_13_52_11 RBG_13_scaffold_12924, whole genome shotgun sequence.
CGGGGCGUGGCGCAGACUGGUAGCGCACCUGCCUUGGGCGCAGGGGGUCGGAGGUUCAAAUCCUCUCGCCCCGA